UUUUCAUUUCUCGCUGACUCUCUUACUACCUUCUUUUUUCCUAGCCUAAUCUGUUUUCCCUUUGCAGCUUCGAAAGCAGUUUCCUCUCACUUCGCAGAAUGUUCUGGAAGCCGCCUCUCCUCUCAGGCCUUCUGCCACUCUGUCUUCUGAUUCCUACAGUGAGACGAUUGAAUUAGCUGAAAUGCACACGAGAGCAGAUAGUGUCGUAGCUUUUUCACCAAUCUCAACCUUGUAAGUUUAGGGUUUUUCACAAAUUGAGCUUUCACUCCAUUUUCGUUCCCAAAUACUAUCUCCAAAUUUUGAUUUUACCAUCGAUAUACGACACAACAUCGCAAUUUCUCGCGGGUCGUUUUGAUAACUGGCGAAACCGCACGAUACCGACAGUGUCCUGCAGUAAUACGACACAUUUGUUGUUUGAUCAUGUUAGCCAAGAGAUUAAGCUCUUUCUUCAAACUCUCCCCAAAACCUCAGAUUUCCACUUCCAUGAAGAAAGUGGAUGAAGAGACUGGCAAAUACUAUGGUAGAAAGGCCGUGUCAUUUGUCUUGAAGAGACAACCUUGGGUUUGGGCUUCAACCCACUGAUUAUAUGUAUAUCAUGAAAUGCACACGAGGUGGAUCCUUUUCCAAAGGUGAACUGCAGCGUUUUGGGAACAUCGAGUUGAACCCCUCCGUUGGAGUUUUAAACUAUGGCCAGUGAAGGACUUGGGGAGGCCUAUGAUGGAAAUAUUGUAUUUGCAAGUGACUUGGAAACUUUUGGUGGUGGGCAUAAUGACCCAAUCAGUGUGGCUUUGGGAGGUAUGCUCCCUUUUUACAUCAAUAUUAUGAUGGUUGAUGAAAGGUUUUAUGUUCCUCCUGGUAGUUGAUUAUGUUUCCAUUUUUAGCACCCAGAUGAGCUGUCAAUCAUAAAAUCAAUGACUUUUAAUGACAUUUUUAAUUUUUUAUGUGAUUGCUUGUGAUUAUUUUAAGUACUAUCUAGACUUGCCAAUAGCGACCUAUAGCUGCAUAGUAGUUUGUAACUUCCCCUGGCCGCUAUAUGCACUGCCAUGGUGUUGCACUUCACUCUAGUGGCAUUCUGCGGCACUAUAGCAUCCUUAAUAAUUAUAAUAGCUAGAUCUUUAAAGUUAAAUUUGAUUGAAGAAUAGCACUAAGAAUACUACUUAUUUGCAAAUAAGUUUUAAGUCUCUGCAAUCAUUCAUAAUAAUUCGUCGAAUCUUAAUGUAAUUUCCAUCAUGUGAUAUUAUGAAUCAAGCAAUGUAAUUAGUCACGUGCAGAUAAAUACAUUUCUAGAUAUAUAAAAUUA